GAUGAACGCUGGCGGCGUGCCUAAUACAUGCAAGUCGAGCGAACAGAUGAGGAGCUUGCUCCGCUGACGUUAGCGGCGGACGGGUGAGUAACACGUGGAUAACCUACCUAUAAGACUGGGAUAACUUCGGGAAACCGGAGCUAAUACCGGAUAAUAUAUUGAACCGCAUGGUUCAAUAGUGAAAGACGGUUUUGCUGUCACUUAUAGAUGGAUCCGCGCCGCAUUAGCUAGUUGGUAAGGUAACGGCUUACCAAGGCAACGAUGCGUAGCCGACCUGAGAGGGUGAUCGGCCACACUGGAACUGAGACACGGUCAAGACUCCUACGGGAGGCAGCAGUAGGGAAUCUUCCGCAAUGGGCGAAAGCCUGACGGAGCAACGCCGCGUGAGUGAUGAAGGUCUUCGGAUCGUAAAACUCUGUUAUUAGGGAAGAACAAAUGUGUAAGUAACUAUGCACGUCUUGACGGUACCUAAUCAGAAAGCCACGGCUAACUUCGUG
rnacentral:rRNA from 1 species